rnacentral:rRNA from 1 species
GACGAACGCUGGCGGCGUGCUUAACACAUGCAAGUCGAACGGAAAGGCCCUGCUUUUGUGGGGUGCUCGAGUGGCGAACGGGUGAGUAACACGUGAGUAACCUGCCCUUGACUUUGGGAUAACUUCUGGAAACUGGGGCUAAUACCGGAUAGGAGCUCCUGCUGCAUGGUGGGGGUUGGAAAGUUUCGGCGGUGUGGGAUGGACUCGCGGCUUAUCAGCUUGUUGGUGGGGUAGUGGCUUACCAAGGCAUUGACGGGUAGCCGGCCUGCGAGGGUGACCGGCCACAUUGGGACUGAGAUAGGGCCCAGACUCCAACGGGAGGCAGCGGUGGGGAGUAUUGCGCAAUGGGCGGAAGCCUGAUGCAGCAACGCCGCGUGCGGGAUGACGGCCUUCGGGUUGUAAACCGCGUUCGCCUGUGACGAAGCGUGAGUGACGGUAAUGGGUAAAGAAGCACCGGCUAACUACGUG